rnacentral:rRNA from 1 species
AGCGAACGCUGGCGGCAGGCCUAACACAUGCAAGUCGAGCGCCCAGCAAUGGGAGCGGCAGACGGGUGAGUAACGCGUGGGGAUCUGCCAGAUGGUACGGAAUAAUUCAGGGAAAUUGGGACUAAUACCGUAUGUGCCCGCAAGGGGAAAGAUUUAUCGCCAUCGGAUGCACCCGCGUCGGAUUAGCUGGUUGGUGUGGUAAAGGCGCAACAAGGCGACGAUCCGUAGCUGAUCUGGGAGGAUGAGCAGCCACACUGGGACUGAGACACGGCCCAGACUCCUACGGGAGGCAGCAGUGGGGAAUAUUGGACAAUGGGCGCAAGCCUGAUCCAGCCAUGCCGCGUGAGUGAUGAAGGCCUUAGGGUUGUAUAGCUCUUUCGCCGGUGAAGAUAAUGACGGUAACCGAAGAAGAAGCCCCGGCUAACUUCGUGCCAGCCGCCGCAGUAAAAC